GACAGAGGGUGCAAGCGUUGUUCGGAAUUACUGGGCGUAAAGCGCGUGUAGGCGGCUCCGCAAGUCGGAUGUGAAAGCCCUGGGCUCAACCUAGGAAGUGCAUUCGAUACUGCGGAGCUGGAGUCCUGGAGAGGAAGGCGGAAUUCUCGGUGUAGAGGUGAAAUUCGUAGAUAUCGAGAGGAACACCGGUGGCGAAGGCGGCCUUCUGGACAGUGACUGACGCUGAGACGCGAAAGCGUGGGGAGCAAACAGG
rnacentral:rRNA from 1 species